UUUUAAAUUUAGAGUUUGAUCCUGGCUCAGGACGAACGCUGGCGGCGUGCUUAACACAUGCAAGUCGAGCGAUGAAACUUCCUUCGGAAAGUGGAUUAGCGGCGGACGGGUGAGUAACACGUGGGUAACCUGCCUCAAAGUGGGGGAUAGCCUUCCGAAAGGAAGAUUAAUACCGCAUAAUAUAAGAGAAUCGCAUGAUUUUUUUAUCAAAGAUUUAUUGCUUUGAGAUGGACCCGCGGCGCAUUAGCUAGUUGGUAAGGUAACGGCUUACCAAGGCAACGAUGCGUAGCCGACCUGAGAGGGUGAUCGGCCACAUUGGAACUGAGACAC
rnacentral:rRNA from 1 species